rnacentral:rRNA from 1 species
UACGUAGGGGGCUAGCGUUGUCCGGAUUUAUUGGGCGUAAAGCGCGUGUAGGCGGCCAGGUAGGUCCGCUGUGAAAACCCGAGGCUCAACCUCGGGACGUCGGCGGAAACCAUCUGGCUAGAGUCCGGAAGAGGAGAGUGGAAUUCCCGGUGUAGCGGUGAAAUUCGUAGAUAUCGGGAGGAACACCAGUGGCGAAGGCGGCGUUCUGGACUGCAACUGACACUGAGGAACGAAAGCCAGGGGAGCAAACGGG